rnacentral:rRNA from 1 species
UGACCCCGUAACUUCGGGAGAAGGGGUGCUCUGUUAGGGUGCAAGCCCGAGAGAGCCGCAGUGAAUAGGCCCAGGCGACUGUUUAGCAAAAACACAGGUCUCUGCGAAGCCGUAAGGCGAAGUAUAGGGGCUGACGCCUGCCCGGUGCUGGAAGGUUAAGAGGAGCGCUUAGCGUAAGCGAAGGUGCGAAUUGAAGCCCCAGUAAACGGCGGCCGUAACAAUAACGGUCCUAAGGUAGCGAAAUUCCUUGUCGGGUAAGUUCCGACCCGCACGAAAGGCGCAACGAUCUGGGCACUGUCUCAACGAGAGACUCGGUGAAAUUAUAGUACCUGUGAAGAUGCAGGUUACCCGCGACAGGACGGAAAGACCCCGUGGAGCUUUACUGCAGCCUGAUAUUGAAUGUUGGUACAGCUUGUACAGGAUAGGUAGGAGCCUUGGAAACCGGAGCGCCAGCUUCGGUGGAGGCAUCGGUGGGAUACUACCCUGGCUGUAUUGACCUUCUAACCCGCCGCCCUUAUCGGGCGGGGAGACAGUGUCAGGUGGGCAGUUUGACUGGGGCGGUCGCCUCCUAAAAGGUAACGGAGGCGCCCAAAGGUUCCCUCAGAAUGGUUGGAAAUCAUUCGCAGAGUGUAAAGGCACAAGGGAGCUUGACUGCGAGACCUACAAGUCGAGCAGGGACGAAAGUCGGGCUUAGUGAUCCGGUGGUUCCGCAUGGAAGGGCCAUCGCUCAACGGAUAAAAGCUACCCCGGGGAUAACAGGCUUAUCUCCCCCAAGAGUCCACAUCGACGGGGAGGUUUGGCACCUCGAUGUCGGCUCAUCGCAUCCUGGGGCUGUAGUCGGUCCCAAGGGUUGGGCUGUUCGCCCAUUAAAGCGGUACGCGAGCUGGGUUCAGAACGUCGUGAGACAGUUCGGUCCCUAUCCGUCGCGGGCGCAGGAAAUUUGAGAGGAGCUGUCCUUAGUACGAGAGGACCGGGAUGGACGCACCGCUGGUGUACCAGUUGUUCUGCCAAGGGCAUCGCUGGGUAGCUAUGUGCGGACGGGAUAAGUGCUGAAAGCAUCUAAGCAUGAAGCCCCCCUCAAGAUGAGAUUUCCCAUUCCGCAAGGAAGUAAGAUCCCUAAAAGAUGAUCAGGUUGAUAGGUCUGAGGUGGAAGUGUGGCGACACAUGGAGCUGACAGAUACUAAUCGAUCGAGGACUUAACCG